UACAGAGGUCUCAAGCGUUGUUCGGAUUCAUUGGCGUAAAGGGUGCGUAGGCGGCGCGGUAAGUCGGGUGUGAAAUCUCGGGCUUAACUCCGAAACUGCAUUCGAUACUGGCGUGCUUGAGGACUGGAGAGGAGACUGGAAUUCAUGGUGUAGCAGUGAAAUGCGUAGAGAUCAUGAGGAAGACCAGUGGCGAAGGCGGGUCUCCUGGGCAGUUCCUGACACUGAGACACGAAGGCCAGGGGAGCAAACGGG
rnacentral:rRNA from 1 species